GAUUUCAGUCGCAUAAAACAAUUCUAUCUUUCCCCACUUCGUCUUCUUCUUAGGCCCUCCUCUUUCCCAAAUUCUGUACAGUAACCAUUUCCAAGCCACUUACAGACGGCGGCGCUUCCUCUGAACUUCAACUUCCUCCCGGCCACCUCUCCCGGCGGCAUAAUACUUACCGGCUGUCACUCGUCAGCUGUAGAACACCCACCCUCUGUCUCAAUAAAUUCAAUUAAUGUCACCUCGUGUCUGCAGAAACCAAGGCAAUUUUUGGAAGAGCAGUGGAAGUUCUGCAAAUGGGGCAAAUGGGUGUGUUCAAAAGCCAAGAAUCAAUGCAACGGACAUGGAAGUCAUAACAAGGAAGCUUCUCCAAAUCUAAAUCAUUACCAUUAUUACUUCUCCAAAUCCAAACCCCUUCCCCUUCUCCCAUCAAAGCCCUUCCCACAGUACACAUGAAUCACCACCAACACACCCAUCCCCACCGCCGACAGCAGAACCGCCGACACCACAAUCUCCAUAACUGUACAUAAAUCCACCUUACUUACAUGUCAUAGGAGUGAAUAAUAUGUACACGAAAUACAUGAAAUCCAAGUUAUAUGAUCUGACACAUCAUGUUGUCUUCCAUUCAUC